GAUGAACGCUGGCGGCGUGCCUAAUACAUGCAAGUCGAGCGAACAGACGAGGAGCUUGCUCCUUUGACGUUAGCGGCGGACGGGUGAGUAACACGUGGGUAACCUACCUAUAAGACUGGGAUAACUUCGGGAAACCGGAGCUAAUACCGGAUAAUGUUUCGAACCGCAUGGUUCGAUAGUGAAAGAUGGCUUUGCUAUCACUUAUAGAUGGACCUGCGCCGUAUUAGCUAGUUGGUAAGGUAACGGCUUACCAAGGCAACGAUACGUAGCCGACCUGAGAGGGUGAUCGGCCACACUGGAACUGAGACACGGUCCAGACUCCUACGGGAGGCAGCAGUAGGGAAUCUUCCGCAAUGGGCGAAAGCCUGACGGAGCAACGCCGCGUGAGCGAUGAAGGUCUUCGGAUCGUAAAACUCUGUUAUUAGGGAAGAACAAACGUGUAAGUAACUGUGCACGUCUUGACGGUACCUAAUCAGAAAGCCACGGCUAACUACGUGCCAGCAGCCGCGGUAAUACGUAGGUGGCAAGCGUUAUCCGGAAUUAUUGGGCGUAAAGCGCGCGUAGGCGGUUUUUUAAGUCUGAUGUGAAAGCCCACGGCUCAACCGUGGAGGGUCAUUGGAAACUGGAAAACUUGAGUGCAGAAGAGGAAAGUGGAAUUCCAUGUGUAGCGGUGAAAUGCGCAGAGAUAUGGAGGAACACCAGUGGCGAAGGCGACUUUCUGGUCUGUAACUGACGCUGAUGUGCGAAAGCGUGGGGAUCAAACAGGAUUAGAUACCCUGGUAGUCCACGCCGUAAACGAUGAGUGCUAAGUGUUAGGGGGUUUCCGCCCCUUAGUGCUGCAGCUAACGCAUUAAGCACUCCGCCUGGGGAGUACGACCGCAAGGUUGAAACUCAAAGGAAUUGACGGGGACCCGCACAAGCGGUGGAGCAUGUGGUUUAAUUCGAAGCAACGCGAAGAACCUUACCAAAUCUUGACAUCCUUUGACCCUUCUAGAGAUAGAAGUUUCCCCUUCGGGGGACAAAGUGACAGGUGGUGCAUGGUUGUCGUCAGCUCGUGUCGUGAGAUGUUGGGUUAAGUCCCGCAACGAGCGCAACCCUUAAGCUUAGUUGCCAUCAUUAAGUUGGGCACUCUAAGUUGACUGCCGGUGACAAACCGGAGGAAGGUGGGGAUGACGUCAAAUCAUCAUGCCCCUUAUGAUUUGGGCUACACACGUGCUACAAUGGACAAUACAAAGGGCAGCGAAACCGCGAGGUCAAGCAAAUCCCAUAAAGUUGUUCUCAGUUCGGAUUGUAGUCUGCAACUCGACUACAUGAAGCUGGAAUCGCUAGUAAUCGUAGAUCAGCAUGCUACGGUGAAUACGUUCCCGGGUCU
rnacentral:rRNA from 1 species